GGGCCAGACUCCUACGGGAGGCAGCAGUGGGGAAUAUUGGACAAUGGGGGGAACCCUGAUCCAGCGACGCCGCGUGAGUGAAGAAGUAUUUCGGUAUGUAAAGCUCUAUCAGCAGGGAAGAAAGGAAUGACGGUACCUGACUAAGAAGCCCCGGCUAACUACGUGCCAGCAGCCGCGGUAAUACGUAGGGGGCAAGCGUUAUCCUGAUUUACUGGGUGUAAAGGGAGCGUAGACGGUUACGCAAGUCUGGAGUGAAAGGCGGGGGCCCAACCCCCGGACUGCUUUGGAAACUGUAUAACUGGAGUGCAGGAGAGGUAAGUGGAAUUCCUAGUGUAGCGGUGAAAUGCGUAGAUAUUAGGAGGAACACCAGUGGCGAAGGCGGCUUACUGGACGGUAACUGACGUUGAGGCUCGAAAGCGUGGGGAGCAAACAGGAUUAGAUACCCUGGUACUC
rnacentral:rRNA from 1 species